UCACCUGGGAACUGCAUUGGUGACUGGCAGGCUAGAGUGCGGCAGAGGGGGGUGGAAUUCCACGUGUAGCGGUGAAAUGCGUAGAGAUGUGGAGGAAUACCGAUGGCGAAGGCAGCCCCCUGGGCCAAUACUGACGCUCAUGCACGAAAGCGUGGGGAGCAAACAGGAUUAGAUACCCUGGUAGUCCACGCCCUAAACGAUGUCAACUAGUUGUUGGGGG
rnacentral:rRNA from 1 species